UACGUAUGUCGCAAGCGUUAUCCGGAUUUAUUGGGCGUAAAGCGCGUCUAGGCGGCUUAGUAAGUCUGAUGUUAAAAUGCGGGGCUCAACUCCGUAUUGCGUUGGAAACUGCUAAACUAGAGUACUGGAGAGGUAAGCGGAACUACAAGUGUAGAGGUGAAAUUCGUAGAUAUUUGUAGGGAUGCCGAUGGGGAAGCCAGCUUACUGGACAGAUACUGACGCUAAAGCGCAAAAGCGUGGGUAGCAAACA
rnacentral:rRNA from 1 species